rnacentral:rRNA from 1 species
AUACGGAGGGUGCAAGCGUUAAUCGGAAUUACUGGGCGUAAAGCGUACGUAGGCGGCAAGUUAAGUUAGAUGUGAAAGCCCCGGGCUCAACCUGGGAACUGCAUUUAAAACUGGCUUGCUAGAGUUGAGUAGAGGGGAGUGGAAUUUCAGGUGUAGCGGUGAAAUGCGUAGAGAUCUGAAGGAACACCAGUGGCGAAGGCGACUCCCUGGACUCGAACUGACGCUGAGGUACGAAAGCGUGGGUAGCAAACGGGAGUAGAUACCCCAGUAGUCC